ACUCGCUUCUGUAAACGGUCAGACGGAUUCGACGCUAGUCUGUUAUUUCCGAAAGACAUUUAUGUUCACAGCUGUCUGGCACCGACGUGGUAAACGCGGCCGUAAAAUGAGCGCAUCCCGCGAAAGGAGAAGAUCUGACAGUGACGUGCAUUGCUGGAAAACCUUAAAACUGCAGAUUUCAUUGUGCUCUCAAACUUCAUGCGCACAACUCUGGCCUGCAGCAAUUAGGUCAGCAGCAAUAGGCGUAUUUUUGUCAAUUGCAAAUGUUUGUGAAAGAUUCGGUUUCUUUACCUUUAGGUGGUGAAAGGCAAUUUGAAGGCAUGAAAUCUAGCCUGCAUAAUGGGAUUAAAGCGUUCAGUCGGAUGUUUUGCAACUAUGGGUUUCGGGUUUCAAAGCCGCCCGCAUUUCCAUAUUCAUAAGGAACAUAGGAUUAUUCAAAUUUCUUCAGUAAAUCGGAAGUAAUUUGCGACAUGACAAUUUGACUUACACUUUUAUUAAGACCGGUUGCCAGCGUAUUGGUCAUGUCGCGUGUUCGGGGGACAGGAAUGCAUACUGAAGAGACGAUACAGCUAAUGCUUCAAACAUAUACAUGAUGCUCUUCUCUUCUACAGCGUCCUGUGGUUCAUCAACAUCAUCAUCAUCAUCACAGUCAGUGUUUGAGUGGCUCGGAGCUGACAAGAGGCCGAAGAGACGCUUAUGCGAUGCACAACAGGCGAUACGUGCGAGGGAACGCGCGGGAAAAUGGGACAGCAACUCGAAAAUCCCCUGUAUGAAAGAGUCUCUUUUAAUUUGCUCCUGCGCUCUAAAUAUUCAAUACAAAAUUGAUGGCGGUCUCAGUUCCAUAAUGCAAUCAGGGCUUUGAGCGAUAUCACAUUAUACAUCUGUAUUCAGCUGGCCUACAUCUGCUUUUGCGGUUCUAAUUCCAUCGAGAGCCAAUUACAGAGAAUGUGUGUAUAAUUCAAGUGUAUCCUAAUAGACUAAUUAAUUUUGCAUUAAAUAAUGAAAAAAAUAUGUCAUGCAUUUCAUUACUGUAAUUGGUCUUUGCUUAGCAAAUCUUUUCCGACUUUCUCUCGCUGACAGCGUGUGACAAGCCAGAGAUUUGAUACUCCAAACUCGGGCUUUUGGAGAUCUCUCAGCACGCCCGCGAUUCUAUUCCUGCCGUCAGAUGAAGAACAGAGAGCCGAGAAGACGAGGAAAACAUCCCCACGUCCCACAGGAAGAAUUCAAUCCUGUAAUAAUUGAAGGAGUGCCAUUUCAUUAACUCCCAAACUCUGACUUCACUCCCACAACAAAUAAACAAGUCUUGGGGUUGCCAGUCGAUCUGCAGAAACAGCCCCAACUAGUUCAGACGAUUAGCGAACAACGACCAAUUAACAGCUCGGGCAUAGAAUUAUAGAAAGCGACAAAACUUGGUAGCGCUCGCAUUUGGAAUCACGGAUUUCGGUUCUAUUUCGGGACUCUUAAUUGACGGGGAAGUGAGGGUUUCGGUUUUAUUUCUCUUGCAAGUCUACAUCGCUGGUCAAGUUUCUUAAAGUACAGCAAACAGCUACAAAAAAUUUAAUAUAUAUGCAGUUUUCUAUAUUUUAGCACCACUACUACACGUGAAUUUAAUACUAUAUUUUUACUUUUAUUUUUCAGGAUUCCUUUUUGAAUAGAAAAUUCCAAAAAAAAUGCAAUAGAAAUAUGCCACUUUUAAUCGAUUCGCGGUGUCCUUGAGAAAUAAAUGUUUUAUUUAUUUCUUUAAUAAAGCAUCUUAUUCUCUUAUUCUUCAACUUUUCAUGGCUUCCGUAAAAAAAAAAAAAUUUUAAACUAUUUUUAACAUUAUUAAUAAUGAGAAAUGUUUUUUUGGUUUUUUUUUAUCAGCGUUUUAUCAGCGAUUUUUCUGGAAAAAUCACGUGACACUGAAGACUGGCGUAACGAUGCUGAAAAUGAAGCUUCGAACACAGGAAAGAAAAACACACUUAUUUGCAUAGAACACAGCUGUUUGAAUUUACAGUAAUAUUUCACAUUUUUACUGUAUUUUACCGUAUUUCGCAUCGAAUAGAAGCAUCCUUGGUGAGAAUCUGUUCGAAGACAUACAACUUUAUCUGUUCAGUUUGUUUAUAUUUCUUCGCUGAGUACAUUUUAUUCAUUUUUGCCUGAAUGUAUUAUAAAAUGAGCAAAAGUCCAGAUAUUGUGAUAAAAAGCGCAACUGAGAUUUGAAAAAUAAAAAGUUAAAAUGCUAAAUAAACAAAUACAUACAUAAAUACGUCAAUUUAAGUUUUUGUUUGCCUAAAUAAAAGUAGGUUUGGUAUAGAAAACAUUUUAUUGUCAUGUGACGAGAAAAGCA